UUGACGGGGCCCGCACAAGCGGAGGAACAUGUGGUUUAAUUCGAUGAUACGCGAGGAACCUUACCUGGGCUUAAAUGGGGAGUGACAGCUGUCGAAAAAUGGUUUCUUCGGACACUCUUCAAGGUGCUGCAUGGUUGUCGUCAGCUCGUGCCGUGAGGUGUCGGGUUAAGUCCCAUAACGAGCGCAACCCUUACCGUUAGUUACCAUCAGGUUAAGCUGAGGACUCUAGCGGGACUGCACCGUAAGGUGAGAGGAAGGUGGGGAUGACGUCAAAUCAGCACGGCCCUUAUGUCCAGGGCUACACACGUGUUACAAUGGCCAGUACAAAGGGCAGCUACCGGGUGACCGGAUGCUAAUCUCUAAAGCUGGUCUCAGUUCGGAUCGAAGUCUGCAACCCGACUUCGUGAAGCUGGAUUCGCUAGUAAUCGCGCAUCAGCCAUGGCGCGGUGAAUACGUUCCCGGGCCUU
rnacentral:rRNA from 1 species